GAGAGUUUGAUCCUGGCUCAGAACGAACGCGGGCGGCAUGCCUAACACAUGCAAGUCGAACGAAGGCUUCGGCCUUAGUGGCGCACGGGUGCGUAACGCGUGGGAAUCUGCCCUUUGGUUCGGAAUAACAGCUGGAAACGGCUGCUAAUACCGGAUGAUGACGAAAGUCCAAAGAUUUAUCGCCUGAGGAUGAGCCCGCGUUGGAUUAGGUAUUUGGUGGGGUAAAGGCCUACCAAGCCGACAAUCCAUAUCUGGUCUGAGAGGA
rnacentral:rRNA from 1 species